rnacentral:rRNA from 1 species
UACGUAGGGGGCAAGCGUUGUCCGGAUUUAUUGGGCGUAAAGAGCGUGUAGGCGGCUUGGUAGGUCCGCUGUGAAAACUCGAGGCUCAACCUCGAGAUGUCGGCGGAAACCACUUGGCUAGAGUCCGGAAGAGGAGAGUGGAAUUCCUGGUGUAGCGGUGAAAUGUGCAGAUAUCAGGAAGAACACCUAUGGCGAAGGCAGCUCUCUGGGACGGUACUGACGCUGAGGCGCGAAAGCGUGGGGAGCAAACAGG